GAAGGGAAACCGAGUCUUAACCGGGCGUUAAGUUGCAGGGUAUAGACCCGAAACCCGGUGAUCUAGCCAUGGGCAGGUUGAAGGUUGGGUAACACUAACUGGAGGACCGAACCGACUAAUGUUGAAAAAUUAGCGGAUGACCUGUGGCUGGGGGUGAAAGGCCAAUCAAACCGGGAGAUAGCUGGUUCUCCCCGAAAGCUAUUUAGGUAGCGCCUCGUGAAUUCAUCUCCGGGGGUAGAGCACUGUUUCGGCUAGGGGGCCAUCCCGGCUUACCAACCCGAUGCAAACUGCGAAUACCGGAGAAUGUUAUCACGGGAGACACACGGCGGGUGCUAACGUCCGUCGUGAAGAGGGAAACAACCCAGACCGCCAGCUAAGGUCCCAAAGUCAUGGUUAAGUGGGAAACGAUGUGGGAAGGCCCAGACAGCCAGGAUGUUGGCUUAGAAGCAGCCAUCAUUUAAAGAAAGCGUAAUAGCUCACUGGUCGAGUCGGCCUGCGCGGAAGAUGUAACGGGGCUAAACCAUGCACCGAAGCUGCGGCAGCGAACGUAUCACUUAAAGCGAUUCAGCGGGUUACGAUUGACGGAGCGAAGCGACGUCAAAGCGUAUACAAAGUCGAGUCGGUUUAAGGAUACGUUCGUUGGGUAGGGGAGCGUUCUGUAAGCCUGUGAAGGUGUGUCGUGAGGCAUGCUGGAGGUAUCAGAAGUGCGAAUGCUGACAUAAGUAACGAUAAAGCGGGUGAAAAGCCCGCUCGCCGGAAGACCAAGGGUUCCUGUCCAACGUUAAUCGGGGCAGGGUGAGUCGACCCCUAAGGCGAGGCCGAAAGGCGUAGUCGAUGGGAAACGGGUUAAUAUUCCCGUACUUGGUGUUACUGCGAAGGGGGGACGGAGAAGGCUAUGUUGGCCGGGCGACGGUUGUCCCGGUUUAAGCGUGUAGGUGUGUGUUCCAGGUAAAUCCGGUUCACUUUAACACUGAGGCGUGACGACGAGGCACUACGGUGCUGAAGCAACAAAUGCCCUGCUUCCAGGAAAAGCCUCUAAGCAUCAGGUAACAUCAAAUCGUACCCCAAACCGACACAGGUGGUCAGGUAGAGAAUACCAAGGCGCUUGAGAGAACUCGGGUGAAGGAACUAGGCAAAAUGGUGCCGUAACUUCGGGAGAAGGCACGCUGACACGUAGGUGAAGUGAUUUACUCAUGGAGCUGAAGUCAGUCGAAGAUACCAGCUGGCUGCAACUGUUUAUUAAAAACACAGCACUGUGCAAACACGAAAGUGGACGUAUACGGUGUGACGCCUGCCCGGUGCCGGAAGGUUAAUUGAUGGGGUCAGCGCAAGCGAAGCUCCUGAUCGAAGCCCCGGUAAACGGCGGCCGUAACUAUAACGGUCCUAAGGUAGCGAAAUUCCUUGUCGGGUAAGUUCCGACCUGCACGAAUGGCGUAAUGAUGGCCAGGCUGUCUCCACCCGAGACUCAGUGAAAUUGAACUCGCUGUGAAGAUGCAGUGUACCCGCGGCAAGACGGAAAGACCCCGUGAACCUUUACUAUAGCUUGACACUGAACAUUGAGCCUUGAUGUGUAG
rnacentral:rRNA from 1 species